AUUGAACGCUAGCGGCAGGCCUAAUACAUGCAAGUCGAACGGUGUCUUCGGACAUAGUGGCGCACGGGUGCGUAACACGUAUGCAAACUACCUCACAUUGGGGGAUAGCCUUUCGACAGGGAGAUUAAUACCGCAUAAGACAGUAGCAGGGCAUACAGCAGCUGCUAAAGAUUUAUCGAGGUAAGCUGGGCAUGCGUCGAAUUAGCUCGUUGGUGAGGCACCGGCACACAAAGGCAAUGACUUGUAGGGGAACUGUGAGGUCAAUCACCCACACUGGCACUGAGAUCCGGGACAGACUCGUGCGAGAGGAAGCAGUAGGGAAUAUUGGGGAAUGGACGAAAGUCUGACCCAGCGAGGCUGCGUGCAGGAUGAAGGCGUUAUGCGUUAUAAAAUGUUUUUAUACAGGUAGAAACGACUCUUGCGAGAGGCAUUGACGGUACUGUAUGAAUAAGCACCGGCUAACUCCGUGCCAGCAGCCGCCGUAAGAC
rnacentral:rRNA from 1 species